rnacentral:rRNA from 1 species
UACGUAGGGUGCAAGCGUUGUCCGGAAUUAUUGGGCGUAAAGAGCUCGUAGGCGGUUUGUCGCGUCGAAUGUGAAAACCCGGGGCUCAACUCCGGGCCUGCAUUCGAUACGGGCAGACUAGAGUUCGGUAGGGGAGUCUGGAAUUCCUGGUGUAGCGGUGAAAUGCGCAGAUAUCAGGAGGAACACCGGUGGCGAAGGCGGGACUCUGGGCCGAUACUGACGCUGAGGAGCGAAGGCGUGGGGAGCGAACAGG